rnacentral:misc_RNA from 1 species
GAUGAAGAACGUAGCGAAAUGCGAUACGUAAUGUGAAUUGCAGAAUUCAGUGAAUCAUCGAGUCUUUGAACGCACAUUGCGCCCUCUGGUAUUCCGGAGGGCAUGCCUGUCCGAGCGUCAUUGCUGCCCUCAAGCACGGCUUGUGUGUUGGGCUCCGUCCCCAGAUCCCGGGGGACGGGCCCGAAAGGCAGCGGCGGCACCGCGUCCGGUCCUCGAGCGUAUGGGGCUUUGUCACCCGCUCUGUAGGCCCGGCCGGCGCUUGCCGAUCAACCAAAUUUUUAUCCAGGUUGACCUCGGAUCAGGUAGGGAUACCCGCUGAACUUAAGCAUAUCAAUAAGCGGAGGA